GCCAGCAACAGCACAUUGAAUGCACCAGUUCCCAAUGGAUCACUGAAGUUGAGCAACGUUGCACGUGGUUCGUAUCCGGCUGGGUGACCAAUGACCACCAAUCGCGUCCUGCUGGCU
rnacentral:rRNA from 1 species